UUUGUCUUUGUAUUUCAGGUACC
rnacentral:siRNA from 1 species